rnacentral:tRNA from 1 species
GGAGAGGUGGCUGAGAGGUUGAAAGCGCCAGAUUGCUAAUCUGUUAUAUAAUAAUUAUUAUAUCGAGGGUUCGAAUCCCUUCCUCUCCU